ACUCAAAAGGAUUGACGGGGGCCCGCACAAGCGGCGGAGCAUGUGGAUUAAUUCGAUGCAACGCGAAGAACCUUACCAAGGCUUGACAUAUACCGAAAACUUCUAGAGAUAGGGUGUCCUCAAGGGCGGUAUACAGGUGGUGCAUGGUUGUCGUCAGCUCGUGUCGUGAGAUGUUGGGUUAAGUCCCGCAACGAGCGCAACCCUCGUCCUAUGUGCCAGC
rnacentral:rRNA from 1 species